rnacentral:rRNA from 1 species
UCUCGAGGACUAAAUCAUGGGGCAGGUUCUGUUUCUGCAAGUGUUGAGGAUAGUACAACUGAUUUGUGAAGCCUGCUGAUACCUACACUCUCAAAAAAUCCAAAAGGAAUGAAUUUAAAGGCCUUGGAGAAAGUUGUUGCAGAUGCAAUUACAAAUGCUUCAAAGAAAAUAGAGCAUAUCCUUAAGAAUGUUACAGAUUGCCAGUCAUCAGGGGGGUAUUUGCUGAAACCUGAACUAGAAUUAGAAAACUCUAAUCAUGCAUCUGGCAGUGGAAGGACUAUUGAUGAGAACAUCGAAGAAAUUGCUCCAAGCUUAAGCAUAUAUGAUCCUGAUAUUGAGAAGAUUGAAAUUGUGGGCUCCCCGGUUUCAGCUGCAGGAGACGAAAAGGUCAAUGGCAGUGAUGGCAAAGUAGGUAGCUCUAGUGAGAGUGGAAGUGACAGUGAUAGCAACAGUGACAGUGGAAGUGAUAGUGUCAGUCAGAGUAGAAGUGCUGGAAGUGGCAGUGGAAGCAGCAGCGACAGCGAUAGUGAUGCUUCAUCAAGAAGCAAAGAAGGAUCUGAUGCAUUUGUGGAUAUUACAAGUGAUGAUAACAAGCCAGAUACAACACGUAGGAAAGUAGCACAUGAACUGAAGUUGUCUUCCUCGCCAAGAGAUUUUCCAACAUUUGAUGGUGAUGAUGAGCAAAUUGAUAUUGGUACAAAUCUGGAUUAUAAGAGCACAUCAUCACACAUUGAUCUGAAUAAUUUGAAUGUCUACAAUGAUGAGCCGGCAUAUGCUGCUGCAACAAGUGAGAAAUUUGGUGCAAGCAAUGUAGACAUGCCAUUAGAAUUUCCAGGAAGCGAAAACAUGGUGAGUACCAGGUUAGAUCCAAGUAUAGUUGAUGGCGAGUAUCCUAACAAAAUAUCUUAUGAGGACAAUCAUUUUGAUGACCCCUUAGCAGGGAGUAGUGAGAACUUACCUAAUGAAGAAGCUAUUUAGUUCAUGGAGCAACAUGGUAGCAGAAGAAAGUAAACCACAAAGGAUGGAACAAACCAUGUGCCCACAAGAAUAUCAGAGAAAGGUGCGAAAUCCACCUUGAAAAGGUUUCCGGGUAAUGAGAAUGCUAUUACAAAGCCAGAAAGUGCCAAAAAGGCCAAGGUUGACUUUGCCUAUUCAGGAGCUAUAGGUUCUUUAUCAGCACAGAGAUAGAACUUGCCUCCUGACAAACAUAUCAGGUCAAGCAAGGAGACGGGGAAUGUUGGACGGGACACACAUAUUGAGCUACAGGUACAAGAUAUUAGUCCUAUGUAAGGAAGGCAUGUGACUCCUGGAGAUCUCCAAAAGAUAAAUCAGAGCCAAAAUCAGCCCAUCCCAACUCACUCCAAGGGAAAACAAGAAAAUAUCAUGAAAACAAGCUCUAAGAAGAAAUUAGAUAAGGUGCAGAAACCUUUGAAUAGUAUGGAUGACAGCCCUGGAAAUGUCAAUUUUGACAACACUGAUGAUUCUGCUGCAAGAAAAAGGGGUAGGCAUGGGGGAUCUUCUCUUGAUGGGAAAAAUCACAAGCGCUCAAAGGAUCCUAAUAUUGAUACAAAUCCCAUGAAUUUGACCAAAGGUGUCAGAGGAAAUGUUAACCACAACAUGAUGAUGUCUCUUCCUGAAUGCACUGAAACUAAUGGCAAGCCACCAAUUUUGCAAAGAAAUAGUGCUGAGAAAUCAUCUCCAAAAAAGGUGCUCCAGAGAGAGCAUUCUGAUCUCAAGUUGGGUGAACAUCGUGAGCUUCCUUCUGAAAAUGACAAUGGGAGGACAAAGAAACAACUUGAGAGAAAUAGUUCUUUUAAGUUGCUUGAUGGUAAAGCAACUAAUGUAGAUAAUUUCUACCCCAAUAUGAAUACCAGGAAGGUUGCUCUAUCUGCUUCCCAUGAUCUGAGAAAACCACAACAGCAAGAAUUUAAUACUAGAGGUAAUAUAAACCAGGAAGGAUUCCCAAGGAAGCCCGCCGGAUACAACUUUGAUAAUAAUAGGUCUCAGCAUAGAGGAAAUGUUUCACAGGGUUGGCAAUUGCCAAGGAUUGAUGUCUAG